rnacentral:rRNA from 1 species
GACGAACGCUGGCGGCGUGCUUAACACAUGCAAGUCGAGCGGUAAGGCCCUUUCGGGGGUACACGAGCGGCGAACGGGUGAGUAACACGUGGGUGACCUGCCUUUAGCUCUGGGAUAAGCCUGGGAAACCGGGUCUAAUACCGGAUAUGACUCCGCGGCGCAUGUUGUGGGGUGGAAAGCCUUGUGCGGCUGGAGAUGGGCCCGCGGCCUAUCAGCUUGUUGGUGGGGUGAUGGCCUACCAAGGCGACGACGGUAGCCGGCCUGAGAGGGCGACCGGCCACACUGGGACUGAGACACGGCCCAGACUCCUACGGGAGGCAGCAGUGGGGAAUCUUGCGCAAUGGGCGAAAGCCUGACGCAGCGACGCCGCGUGAGGGAUGACGGCCU